rnacentral:rRNA from 1 species
CGGACGGGUGAGUAACGCGUGGAAAACCUGCCGUAUACUGGGGGAUAACACUUAGAAAUAGGUGCUAAUACCGCAUAAGCGCACAGCUUCGCAUGAAGCGGUGUGAAAACUCUGGUGGUAUACGAUGGUUCCGCGUCUGAUUAGCUAGUUGGUGGGGUAAUGGCCUACCAAGGCAACGAUCAGUAGCCGGCCUGAGAGGGUGAACGGCCACAUUGGGACUGAGACACGGCCCAAACUCCUACGGAAGGCAGCAG